GGUCCAGUAGCUUACGGCAAGCAUAGGGCCUUGCAAGCCCUGGAUUCGGGUUCAAUUCCCGGCUAGAUCU
rnacentral:tRNA from 1 species